AUUCAUAAAACCUGGUGGGUUUGUUUUUGCUUAUUUGAAGGCUUCUUCUUGACAUUCCUUUUAUUGAAUGUUUCCACUAAUUUGCAAGAGAUGCAGGGUGGCUAAGUCACUUGUAAAAGGCUCUACUCAUCCAGUUCAAAGUCACAACUUGCAGCAUCUGCUAAAGGAAAGUCUGACCUGUUCAGCUCCCUGACAACCAAUCGCAUAGUUGUUGAAAUCUUACUCAAAAUUGAAGAACCAAAGAAAAACAUUAAAGUUAUACAACACUGAAGCACAACUACAAGGUGGCAAAGAUGUAGUCAUUCAGAAGCAGUGGUUUGCAUUACUCAACUACGUGGAAUCCUUAUGACAGGAUAUCAAACUUUGUGCCUACUUUGUAGUGAAGUAGCUGCAUUUAAGAACAUUACAGACAAUUGAAACAAUGCUCACACAUUCACCUGCAAAAAUAAACAUGUCAGACAAAAAUAAAAUUAACUUAGAGUUCAGAGCAUGAAAAGUGUAAAAAUACGUUAUAUAAUCUCUUGUGCUCUGUGCUGCUUGUCUACUAGUUGACAGCAUGUCAGAUUGUUUGUAAAUAUUUUCUGGAAAAAUGCCACUAUUAUAUGUAACUGCAUCACAUGGCGGGAAUGAAAAGACAAAACGUUAGAUUUGAGGAUAGAGAGUACUCACUAGCACAUAACUUCUGACCUUAAAACAGAACAUGGUGCACUGCCAAAGAUUUUGUGGU